UACGUAGGGUGCAAGCGUUAAUCGGAAUUACUGGGCGUAAAGCGUGCGCAGGCGGUGAUGUAAGACAGAUGUGAAAUCCCCGGGCUCAACCUGGGAACUGCAUUUGUGACUGCAUCGCUGGAGUGCGGCAGAGGGGGAUGGAAUUCCGCGUGUAGCAGUGAAAUGCGUAGAUAUGCGGAGGAACACCGAUGGCGAAGGCAAUCCCCUGGGCCUGCACUGACGCUGAGGCGCGAAAGCCAGGGGAGCAAACGGG
rnacentral:rRNA from 1 species